rnacentral:rRNA from 16 species
GGGGGAUGCCUUGGCUCUCAGAGACGAUGAAGGACGUGUUAAGCUGCGAAAAGCUACGGGGAGUUGCACAAAAGCUUUGAUCCGUAGAUAUCCGAAUGGGGCAACCCGCUAGUUUGAAGAACUAGCACCGAAAGGAGUGAACCCGGGGAACUGAAACAUCUAAGUACCCGGAGGAAGAGAAAACAAUAGUGAUUCCGCAAGUAGUGGCGAGCGAACGCGGAUUAGCCCAAACCGUAACAGUUACGGCUGUUGCGGGGUUGUAGGACUGCACUGUGGACUAUACAAACGAACUUGAACGACUUGGGAAAGUCGGCCAUAGAGGGUGAAAGCCCCGUAAAGGUAAGGUUGUAUUACCUAGCAGUAUCCUGAGUAGGGCGGGACCGGAGAAAUCCCGUCUGAAUCCACCGGCACCAUCCGGUAAGGCUAAAUACUCCUGAGAGACCGAUAGUGAACCAGUACCGUGAGGGAAAGGCGAAA